GGAUAUGUAGCUUAGUGGUAGAGUGCUUGCCAAGCAUUCAUGAGGCCUUGGGGUCAAUCCCCAGCAUUACCC
rnacentral:tRNA from 1 species